rnacentral:rRNA from 1 species
AGUGAACGCUGGCGGUAGGCCUAACACAUGCAAGUCGAACGGCAGCACAGGAGAGCUUGCUCUCUGGGUGGCGAGUGGCGGACGGGUGAGGAAUACAUCGGAAUCUACUCUGUCGUGGGGGAUAACGUAGGGAAACUUACGCUAAUACCGCAUACGACCUACGGGUGAAAGCAGGGGACCUUCGGGCCUUGCGCGAUUGAAUGAGCCGAUGUCGGAUUAGCUAGUUGGCGGGGUAAAGGCCCACCAAGGCGACGAUCCGUAGCUGGUCUGAGAGGAUGAUCAGCCACAGUGGAACUGAGACACGGUGCAGAAUCCUACGGGAGGCAGCAGUGGGGAAUAUUGGACAAUGGGCGCAAGCCUGAUCCAGCCAUACCGCGUGGGUGAAGAAGGCCUUCGGGUUGUAAAGCCCUUUUGUUGGGAAAGAAAUCCAGCUGGCUAAUACCCGGUUGGGAUGACGGUACCCAAAGAAUAAGCACCGGCUAACUUCGUGCCAGCCGCCGCGGUAA